GUGAAAUUUGGGCGUCUCUUCCACAGAGAGCCCGUCUGCCACAUUUAACCCUGUGCACUUGGCACUUAGUCUCGUGCGCUUGUCAGUCGGGCUCAGUUUUUUUCGGAAGCCUGAGCCGGCGAAAACCUUUUUUAACGCAAGUUGAUGAAUGUAACUUAAAAUAUAAACCAAAUA
rnacentral:misc_RNA from 1 species